GAUCGAUUCUUAAUAUAAGGGUCUUAGAACUUGGUGAAUUUUUUUUUUUAAUGGAAUCAAUUUCUUGUAAUUCUGUGAUUCCUUAUCAGAAGCCAUAGAGAAGUCUCAAUUUCCCUUUACACUCCCUAAUAUAGACUGUAAAUGAUAUAUUCUUUGAAAAGGAGGCUCCCCAUUUGAUUGAGAAUACUCAGGAAGUGAUCCCCAUUAACUUCCUCUUGUGCCUCAGCACAGAUUGAAGAACAAGUCCCACUAACAGAUCACAAAGUGUUACGGAAGAGAGGUGCUUCUUAACCCCUCCACAAAGUGCAGAAGGGUUACCAAUAUGUGCUAGUGGCACAGUGCAGCUCCAUGAAAUACUAAAGCUUCUUGAGAGGUGAUCGAUAUAGUUGGGUCCUUGGAUGGCAGUUUAGAAACAUCACCCCUAUUUAAGAUAAACUCUUUCUUCCAUGACUCCACAUACAAUAAAGCUAUGGCUUCACUUUCCUCUCUCAGCAAUCAUAUUUUCCACAUCACAAAUCUGAAGAGGGAGGGCUCUCAGAGACCUAGUUUGGUAGAGUAGAAGCCAAAAACCACAUGGACCACAUGGUGUUAAAGUUAGAAGUUGAUCCCAGGUCUCAAGUUGAGUAUAGUCCCUCCUCUGAAUAUCUCAUAGAUGAAAGGGAUCUAAAGAGUCGAGCAGUAAGCCGUACACCAGCAUUCUACCAAAAUAAUACCAGUAAAAUGGGAGAGGGACAGGGUCUAAGGAAAAGAAUGUGUCCUUUCCUUAAAAAGAAAUGCAAAAAUUACAUUUUAAAAGGAUUAGAUUGGAUCGUAAGCUCUCUUUGGACAGGGACUACUUUUUGCCUCUUUUUGUAUCCAUCCAUUCACAGCAGUAAGCACAGUGCCUGGCACAUGGUAGGUGCUUAAUAAAUGUUUAUUGAUUGACUGGUUGAAGGAAAAACCUGAAUCGUAAAAAAGUUAUUUUCAUUUGGGAGGCAGGACUAGAAAUUGAGUUAGACAGGAAACUCUGAUCUCAUACAUAUAUUAUAAAAAUACCAGUUGAAGCACUGAGAAACCAGACACCUCCAUACAGCUUUGAAGUGCCAUUUCUGGCAGCCUUUCUGAUUACGUUAUGGUUUUCGUUAACCAUAGAGAAAAACAAAAUUGUACCUUAAACAACUUAUGCUCAGAAAGCACAAAUAAAUAUGCUGUUAAUGGCAAACCACUGAAAAUUCAGUAAGAGUCAUGCAAUUAGAAAUGCACCCUUCUUGUAAUCUGACACCGAUUCCUCCUUUACAUGCACACCAUUAUUUUUAAAGCCAAUUAGAAUGUCUUCAUCAGUCCACACCACACCCUCUGAUUUAAAUAGGCUGUUCAUUCAGGUUAGCUCCAAUGUUCACUCACACCCAAGGACCGCCCCCCUCCCCCCAAGCACCCCUAUUAAAGCUAUGUCUGGUUUGUCAAAGUCAAAAGCAGAGGAAAAACAAUGACAAACUUGACUUUAUAAAUUAAAAGUAUUUGCACUUGGCUAAACAAAGGCAUGGUCCCUGAUACUCUGAACCAAGAGCAAGAGAACAAUUUAAAUGUUUAGCUACCACUGCUUUUAAGGACUAAACUGAGACAAGUGUUGGGCAGAAGUCAGAUUUCCCUGUGAGGGAGAUUUUGCUUCUUUCCUUUACCAC
rnacentral:lncRNA from 1 species